AUUCGGAUUUAUUGGGCGUAAAGGGUUCGUAGGCGGGAUUAUAAGUCAAGUGUGAAAUCCCCAAGCUUAACUUGGGACGUGCAUUUGAAACUGUGAUUCUUGAGUCAUUGAGAGGGUGGUGGAAUUGUUGGUGUAGGAGUGACAUCCGUAGAGAUCAACAGGAACAUCAGAGGCGACAGCGGCCACCUGGCAAUGUACUGACGCUGAGGAACGAAAGCGUGGGGAGCAAACAGG
rnacentral:rRNA from 1 species